rnacentral:rRNA from 1 species
ACGGAAGGCAGCAGUGGGGAAUAUUGCACAAUGGGGGAAACCCUGAUGCAGCGACGCCGCGUGAGUGAAGAAGUAUUUCGGUAUGUAAAGCUCUAUCAGCAGGGAAGAAAACAAUGACGGUACCUGACUAAGAAGCCCCGGCUAACUACGUGCCAGCAGCCGCGGUAAUACGUAGGGGGCAAGCGUUAUCCGGAUUUACUGGGUGUAAAGGGAGCGUAGACGGUGAGGCAAGUCUGAAGUGAAAGCCCGGGGCUCAACCCCGGGACUGCUUUGGAAACUGUCUGACUAGAGUGCAGGAGAGGUAAGUGGAAUUCCUAGUGUAGCGGUGAAAUGCGUAGAUAUUAGGAGGAACACCAGUGGCGAAGGCGGCUUACUGGACGAUAACUGACGUUGAGGCUCGAAAGCGUGGGGAGCAAACAGGAUUAGAUACCCUGGUA